rnacentral:rRNA from 1 species
GAUGAACGCUAGCUACAGGCUUAACACAUGCAAGUCGAGGGGAAACGACAUCGAAAGCUUGCUUUUGAUGGGCGUCGACCGGCGCACGGGUGAGUAACGCGUAUCCAACCUGCCCACCACUUGGGGAUAACCUUGCGAAAGUAAGACUAAUACCCAAUGACGUCUCUAGAAGACAUAUGAAAGAGAUUAAAGAUUUAUCGGUGAUGGAUGGGGAUGCGUCUGAUUAGCUUGUUGGCGGGGUAACGGCCCACCAAGGCGACGAUCAGUAGGGGGUCUGAGAGGAAGGUCCCCCACAUUGGAACUGAGACACGGUCCAAACUCCUACGGGAGGCAGCAGUGAGGAAUAUUGGUCAAUGGGCGAGAGCCUGAACCAGCCAAGUAGCGUGCAGGAUGACGGCCCUAUGGGUUGUAAACUGCUUUUAUAAGGGAAUAAAGUGAGUCUCGAGAGACUUUUUGCAUGUACCUUAUGAAUAAGGACCGGCUAAUUCCGUGCCAGCCGCCGCCGUAA